ACAUCCAGCGAACUUGGCAGAGAUGCCUUGGUGCCUUCGGGAACGCUGAGACAGGUGCUGCAUGGCUGUCGUCAGCUCGUGUUGUGAAAUGUUGGGUUAAGUCCCCGNAACGAGCGCAACCCUUAUCCUUUGUUGCCAGCGAUUCGGUCGGGAACUCAAAGGAGACUGCCGGUGAUAAACCGGAGGAAGGUGGGGAUGACGUCAAGUCAUCAUGGCCCUUACGAGUAGGGCUACACACGUGCUACAAUGGCGCAUACAAAGAGAAGCGACCUCGCGAGAGCAAGCGGACCUCAUAAAGUGCGUCGUAGUCCGGAUCGGAGUCUGCAACUCGACUCCGUGAAGUCGGAAUCGCUAGUAAUCGUGGAUCAGAAUGCCACGGUGAAUACGUUCCCGGGCCUUGUACACACCGCCCGUCACACCAUGGGAGUGGGUUGCAAAAGAAGUAGGUAGCUUAACCCUCGGGAGGGCGCUUACCACUUUGUGAUUCAUGACUGGGGUGAAGUCGUAACAAGGUAGGCGUAGCGAG
rnacentral:rRNA from 1 species